GUGUGUGCACAUAGGGGUUCUCGUCUGUGUGUGUGUGUACGUAGGGUUUCUAGUCGGUCGACCGUGUGUGUGCACGUAGGGGUUCUAGUCUGUCGACCGUGUGUGUGUGCACAUAGGGGUUCUCGUCUGUGUGUGUGUGUGUACGUAGGGGUUCUAAUCUGUCAAUUGUGUGUGUGUAUGUAGGGGUUCUAGUCGGUCGACCGUGUGUGUGUACGUAGGGGUUCUAGUCUGUCGACCGUGUGUGCGCGUACGUAGGGGUUCUAGUCUGUCGACCGUGUGUGUGUGUGUACGUAGGGGUUCUAGUCUGUCGACCGUGUGUGCGUGCACAUAGGGGUUCUCGUCUGUGUGUGUGUGUGCGUGUACGUAGGGGUUCUAAUCUGUCAAUUGUGUGUGUGUACGUAGGGGUUCUAGUCGGUCGACCGUGUGUGUACGUAGGGGUUCUAGUCUGUCGACCGUGUGUGUGUGUGUACGUAGGGGUUCUAGUC
ensembl:lncRNA